rnacentral:rRNA from 1 species
CGAAACCCAUCACAAGAUGAGAUUUCUUUUAAGGGUCGUAGGAGACGACUACGUUGAUAGGUCAUAGGUGUAGAGGCAGUAAUGUCUUAGCCGAGUGAUACUAAUUACCCGUAAGCCUAUCGUA